GACCCAGUGGAUUGGCAUGGUCGCAAGAUUGUUAAUCUGGGGGUCACGCGUUCGAAUCGCGUCGGGGUCACCA
rnacentral:tRNA from 1 species